AAUCGUGCUGAUUUUCAUUAAGUGAAAACCCAAAAAUCACUGCUCUAUAGCUAGAAUGUCAUUUCGGAGGCGAAAACACUUGGCAAAGUAUUUCAUUUUGAUAAAAAUAAUAUUUUUUUUUUGCCUAAGUCAUGUUAUUCUUUCAAAAAAGAAAAGAAAAAUUUAAUUCAUUUUCUUUGUUUUCUUCUUCGUUGUUUACUUCAAUCUCUCUGUUCAUCCUCCAUCUUCUACUUCAGUUUGGUUUUUUUUUUUCAAUCGAAGAAACCACAUAAGGAUGGGAUCUCGUCUUUCCCAAACUCCUCCAUUUGGCACUCUGUAUAUCAAUCAUCAUCGUCUCCACCAAACCCUAAACCACGAUCUCUCCUUGAACGACGAUUACGUCUCAUAAUCAUCUCCGCAAGACCUCGCAAACCCCUCAAUUUCACUCUUUCGUGCGUCUCCUCAGAUCCCAACGCCUCUGAUUCGAUAAAGAGAGACGAAUGCACCAGUAGCCAUGGCUGCACAGACUGAGACAGCUUUUCUUAAGCAACCCAAGAAUGAAGCUUUAUCAUUUUGCUUUACGAGUUGGUCCUUAUGAUGACGAUUAUGUGUGUGUUUCAGCUAGAAGAAAUCUGGGAAAGGAAAGAAACAUGUUAAAGGUGGAAACCGUUUCCGGAAGAACAUUGGUUUGGGUUUCCAGACUCCCCGUGACGCCAUUGAAGGUUUGAUGUAGAUUUACCUCUGUUCGUUUCUCUCCGCUCUUCUAUAUUUCACUCAUGUGCAUGCACAAUUGUGUUUGUGUGACUAGGUCGUCAAUGAGGUAUUUCAGAUUAGGCGUAAAAUUCUCUACUUUCAGUUUUGAUGAGUAAGUCUGAGACUCUUGUGAUUGCAUGAACUGAUGUUCAAAGAAGAGGUCACAGUUAAGCUUGUGGGUGAUUCGAUAGAUAAAGACUCCAACUUUUCUUUUUUGUUCAACUGCAUUGCUUCCUGCAACUUUUGCGUCCAUUGUAAGAACCUUCGCUGAUGUUGCAAUGUUGUUCCCUUCUUUCUUAGUUUUCAAUUCUGCUAGGUAGUUAAAAGUCUCUGCCUUUGCUCUGUUCUUGGCUAAAGUUUGUCUUUUUGCCUCGUUCUUGGCUAAAGUUAUACUUUUUCCCCUGUUUUUGUUACCAUCUCUAUGCUCUAUUUUACAAUUUUAAGUCUGACUUUGGCAAUCACAGGAAGAAAAAAGAAGUUUAGUUUGAUCAAGAUGAAGCCUCUCAUUCUUAGCUAAAGUUAACUUAAUGAUCAUUCUUCUGUUCCAAACUAGGUUCCGCUAGUUGUUAUUGUUUUUGUCUCAGUUUUUAACCAAGCAUGUGUUCUUAUAGACAGAUGAGCUUAAAGCAGUUGGAGUUGAUGAAGUGGUUCUGGCCAUCAAUUACCAACCAGAAGUGAUGCUUAACUUUUUGAAAGACUUUGAAGCAAAGCUGGAAAUCAAAAUCACUUGCUCACAAGAGACUGAGCGUAUGGGUACGAUUGAGUCCAGCUUGGGAAAUAUUAAGGAAGUUAUUAGUCUUAUAUAUGUUAUAUUUGUUAACUUAUGAAUUAUUUUGGCCUUGUGUAUAUUUUGGAUGGUAGUUAGUCAAUGUAGUGGUUGCCUUGGAGAUGCAGGAGAAGUCCGAUUGCCAUUGAUAUUAUCAUGGCAUUUGUAGUUUUUAUAUGUUGGAGCACUUCUGGUUUCUAAUGAGUAAUGAGCAAGAUUAUGUUUAAAAUGGUCAAUAAAAAUUUAUUUUAUUUA